GAUGUAUUCCCUCUGUUUCAAAUUACUUGUCUUGGAUUUGUCUAGAUACGGAGGUAUCUAGCACUAAAAUGAGUCUAGAUACAUCUGUAUCUAGACAAAUCCAAGACAAAUAAUUCGGAACGGAGGGAGUAUAUU
rfam:Triticum urartu cultivar G1812 contig218355, whole genome shotgun sequence.